UGAUCUGCGGCGGGAGAGUCCUGCCGGUACAUCCCGUCAGGCGCCGUAGGAGCAAACCCUCCCCAGGAAUCUCUCAGGCCCAUGUACCGCCGCGGCGAG
rnacentral:ncRNA from 2 species